GCCAAAGCAAAGCAGCUACAGGUGAGUCCUCUUGCCUGUAGAUGUCUCAGAGGCACCAGUACAGAUGGAAAAUAAAAUCCAUCAAUAAUAUGUUAUCAAUGGUGACCUAGAGAUACUCUGAUUUUCAAGGGAACAGACUGCGUAUCAGUGUGGAAUACAAAGAAUGGCAGAAAUAUCUAUGGGAAAGGAAAAGGGAGAAGGCACUUCGUGCAAUACAUGAAGCUUCUUUUCAGAAGAAUCAGUCCCCACAGUAUUCAUGCAAGCAAGCUCAUGCAUAGUCAAAGGAUUUGCCAAACUGAGCCUCCAUCCAGAAGAUUCUCAUCAACAAUGGAGGCCUGACAUUCUGUAUCAACUGCCCUCACAUUAAGAUCUUCACCAGAGGUUCUUCUCCAAGUGCCCUUGCUUUCCGAGAUUAGAUAGGUGAUGAUCUGACACAGAGACUUUUCAGUGGUUCUCAUGUCAGUUGGGUAACAUACUACAUAGGGAUAACUUUUAGAUGCCUGGUAAAAAACAAACCGAUUUUGCCAAAUGUUUGAUUGGGUGGCUUAUUUUGUUGCCUUGACAUUUUUACUAAUGUUUCUGUUUUGAAUGACAUUUCUUCUUUUACUGCUGUUUUAUUGGGUUUUGGUUUUUAGAUUUGAUAGUACUUAAUUUUUGUCAGUAACCUUUCUGAAAAGUGGUUUCUUCUACUGAAAAGCAAAAUAUUUUAUUGUAAAGUGUAAGUUAAUAGCAUAACUUACUUUUUAGUUCUUCAUUAAAACCAAUAUUUGAACUGUGUUAAUUUCAGACAAGAUCAAAAAGAGAGCUUCCUGCAUUCAUAAACUUGAUGUUUUAUGUAUGUUAUUACUGAAGUUUUACUAUAUUUGUUUGGACAUAUAACAAGUUCUGUUUUUAAACUCUUGUUAUUACAAUGUUUGUCCUGCUUUUAUAUAUUGGUAUGACUUAAGGCAGAAAUUAAACAGAACUUGCUUUGC